UACGUAGGGUGCAAGCGUUAAUCGGAAUUACUGGGCGCAAAGCGUGCGCAGGCGGUUUUGUAAGUCUGACGUGAAAUCCCCGGGCUCAACCUGGGAAUUGCGUUGGAGACUGCAAGGCUGGAGUCUGGCAGAGGGGGGUAGAAUUCCACGUGUAGCAGUGAAAUGCGUAGAGAUGUGGAGGAACACCGAUGGCGAAGGCAGCCCCCUGGGUCAAGACUGACGCUCAUGCACGAAAGCGUGGGGAGCAAACAGG
rnacentral:rRNA from 1 species